UACGUAGGGGGCUAGCGUUGUCCGGAAUCAUUGGGCGUAAAGCGCGUGUAGGCGGUCCGGUAAGUCCGCUGUGAAAGUCGAGGGCUCAACCCUCGAAUGCCGGUGGAUACUGUCGGGCUAGAGUACGGAAGAGGCGAGUGGAAUUCCUGGUGUAGCGGUGAAAUGCGCAGAUAUCAGGAGGAACACCAAUUGCGAAGGCAGCUCGCUGGGACGUUACUGACUCUGAGACGCGAAAGCGUGGGGAGCAAACAGG
rnacentral:rRNA from 1 species